UACGGGGGGGGCAAGCGUUGUUCGGAAUUACUGGGCGUAAAGGGCUCGUAGGCGGCCAACUAAGUCAGACGUGAAAUCCCUCGGCUUAACCGGGGAACUGCAUCUGAUACUGGAUGGCUUGAGUUCGGGAGAGGGAUGCGGAAUUCCAGGUGUAGCGGUGAAAUGCGUAGAUAUCUGGAGGAACACCGGUGGCGAAGGCGGCAUCCUGGACCGACACUGACGCUGAGGCGCGAAAGCUAGGGGAGCGAACGGG
rnacentral:rRNA from 1 species